rnacentral:misc_RNA from 1 species
GGGGAAAACGAGUGUAAGGAGCGUAGCGAGCCCACCUCCCACCCGUGUUUACUGUACCUUAGUUGCUUCGGCGGGCCCGCCAUUCAUGGCCGCCGGGGGCUCUCAGCCCCGGGCCCGCGCCCGCCGGAGACACCACGAACUCUGUCUGAUCUAGUGAAGUCUGAGUUGAUUGUAUCGCAAUCAGUUAAAACUUUCAACAAUGGAUCUCUUGGUUCCGGCAUCGAUGAAGAACGCAGCGAAAUGCGAUAACUAGUGUGAAUUGCAGAAUUCCGUGAAUCAUCGAGUCUUUGAACGCACAUUGCGCCCCCUGGUAUUCCGGGGGGCAUGCCUGUCCGAGCGUCAUUGCUGCCCAUCAAGCACGGCUUGUGUGUUGGGUCGUCGUCCCCUCUCCGGGGGGGACGGGCCCCAAAGGCAGCGGCGGCACCGCGUCCGAUCCUCGAGCGUAUGGGGCUUUGUCACCCGCUCUGUAGGCCCGGCCGGCGCUUGCCGAACGCAAAUCAAUCUUUUCCAGGUUGACCUCGGAUCAGGUAGGGAUACCCGCUGAACUUAAGCAUAUCAAUAGGCGGGAGGAAAAAAAAAAGGGUUAGGGAAGGCUG